rnacentral:rRNA from 1 species
AUACAGAGGGUGCAAGCGUUAAUCGGAAUUACUGGGCGUAAAGCGCACGUAGGCGGAUAUUUAAGUCGGAUGUGAAAGCCCUAGGCUUAACCUAGGAAUUGCAUUCGAUACUGGGUAUCUAGAGUAUGAUAGAGGAAAGUAGAAUUCCUGGUGUAGCGGUGAAAUGCGUAGAUAUCAGGAGGAAUACCAGUGGCGAAGGCGGCUUUCUGGAUCAAUACUGGCGCUGAGGUGCGAAAGCGUGGGGAGCAAACAGGAUUAGAAACCCCGGUAGUCC